rnacentral:rRNA from 1 species
UACGUAGGGUGCAGGCGUUUAAUCGGAAUUACUGGGUCGUAAAGCGUGCGCAGGCGGUUAUGCAAAGACAGAUGUGAAAUCCCCGGGCUCAACCUGGGAACUGCAUUUGUGACUGCAUAGCUGGAGUGCGGCAGAGGGGGAUGGAAAUUCCGCGUGUAGCAGUGAAAUGCGUAGAUAUGCGGAGGAACACCGAUGGCGAAGGCAAUCCCCUGGGCCUGCACUGACGCUCGAUGCACGAAAGCGUGGGGAGCAAACAGG